UCUACUAGUGUCCGUUUCUGUAUCCAUGCCCAUUGUGACCGUCCUUUAUUUGCUGACCAAUGUGGCUUACAAUGUCAUCUUACAUAUGCCUUCUUUCCUGAAGCUGUUGCUGUGAUAUUUGGUAAUAAGGUCCAAAGCCAUGUUCAGCGACUAAUUCCUAUUACAGUGGCCAUGGCUUGUGUCAGUGAACUGAACUCAAUCAGUCAUUACAGCAUCCAGAAAUGCCAAUUGCUAUGUUUGCAGAGCAUCUAACUGAUGGCAGCCAAAGCCUCUCAUUCUUCACACCCAGUUUUCGGGCUCCUUUAUGUGGGCCCAAAGGAAGGGCACCUUCCCUUUGGUUUAAGCAUGAUCCCUGUGGAAUGAUUCACACUGGUCCCUGCUCUUCUCUCCAAACUAAGACUCUUCUUUCCUGUAGUUUCUUGCUUGUGUACCCUCUCUAUGAGAUACAGUCAACUCCUUAAUUGGAAUUGGAAUUUAUCUGGAAUUCCUGCAUAUUUCUUAAGAGUAUAUUUAUCAGCAAAAAUGACCUUCCAAUUUACAAAGACUAUGGUAAGAAAACAAACUCAACUUUGUUUCCACUGCACUCUGUGACUUGCAAUGCCAACCAUGUAAAUGGAAUAAAAGCUUGUAUGUGUAAAA